rnacentral:rRNA from 1 species
UACGAAGGGGGCUAGCGUUGCUCGGAAUCACUGGGCGUAAAGGGUGCGUAGGCGGGUCUUUAAGUCAGAGGUGAAAUCCUGGAGCUCAACUCCAGAACUGCCUUUGAUACUGAGGAUCUUGAGUACGGGAGAGGUGAGUGGAAUUCCCAGUGUAGAGGUGAAAUUCGUAGAUAUUGGGAAGAACACCGGUGGCGAAGGCGGCUCACUGGCCCGUAACUGACGCUCAGGCGCGAUAGCGUGGGGAUCAAACAGG